rnacentral:rRNA from 1 species
AGAGUUUGAUCAUGGCUCAGAUUGAACGCUGGCGGCAGGCCUAACACAUGCAAGUCGAGCGGUAGCACAGAGAGCUUGCUCUCGGGUGACGAGCGGCGGACGGGUGAGUAAUGUCUGGGAAACUGCCUGAUGGAGGGGGAUAACUACUGGAAACGGUAGCUAAUACCGCAUAACGUCGCAAGACCAAAGUGGGGGACCUUCGGGCCUCAUGCCAUCAGAUGUGCCCAGAUGGGAUUAGCUAGUAGGUGGGGUAACGGCUCACCUAGGCGACGAUCCCUAGCUGGUCUGAGAGGAUGACCAGCCACACUGGAACUGAGACACGGUCCAGACUCCUACGGGAGGCAGCAGUGGGGAAUAUUGCACAAUGGGCGCAAGCCUGAUGCAGCCAUGCCGCGUGUGUGAAGAAGGCCUUCGGGUUGUAAAGCACUUUCAGCGGGGAGGAAGGCGNCGAUUGACGUUACCCGCAGAAGAAGCACCGGCUAACUCCGUGCCAGCAGCCGCGGUAAUACGGAGGGUGCAAGCGUUAAUCGGAAUUACUGGGCGUAAAGCGCACGCAGGCGGUCUGUCAAGUCGGAUGUGAAAUCCCCGGGCUCAACCUGGGAACUGCAUUCGAAACUGGCAGGCUAGAGUCUUGUAGAGGGGGGUAGAAUUCCAGGUGUAGCGGUGAAAUGCGUAGAGAUCUGGAGGAAUACCGGUGGCGAAGGCGGCCCCCUGGACAAAGACUGACGCUCAGGUGCGAAAGCGUGGGGAGCAAACAGGAUUAGAUACCCUGGUAGUCCACGCCGUAAACGAUGUCGAUUUGGAGGUUGUGCCCUUGAGGCGUGGCUUCCGGAGCUAACGCGUUAAAUCGACCGCCUGGGGAGUACGGCCGCAAGGUUAAAACUCAAAUGAAUUGACGGGGGCCCGCACAAGCGGUGGAGCAUGUGGUUUAAUUCGAUGCAACGCGAAGAACCUUACCUGGUCUUGACAUCCACAGAACUUUCCAGAGAUGGAUUGGUGCCUUCGGGAACUGUGAGACAGGUGCUGCAUGGCUGUCGUCAGCUCGUGUUGUGAAAUGUUGGGUUAAGUCCCGCAACGAGCGCAACCCUUAUCCUUUGUUGCCAGCGGU